rnacentral:rRNA from 1 species
CCCGUGGAGCUUUACUGUAGCCUGAUAUUGAAAUUCGGCACAGCUUGUACAGGAUAGGUAGGAGCCUUUGAAACGUGAGCGCUAGCUUACGUGGAGGCGCUGGUGGGAUACUACCCUAGCUGUGUUGGCUUUCUAACCCGCACCACUUAUCGUGGUGGGAGACAGUGUCAAGCGGGCAGUUUGACUGGGGCGGUCGCCUCCUAAAAGGUAACGGAGGCGCUCAAAGGUUCCCUCAGAAUGGUUGGAAAUCAUUCAUAGAGUGUAAAGGCAUAAGGGAGCUUGACUGCGAGACCUACAAGUCGAGCAGGGUCGAAAGACGGACUUAGUGAUCCGGUGGUUCC